rnacentral:lncRNA from 1 species
AUCACCUUCAUGAGCGCAUCAGUGAACACCAGUCUAAGGAAGACAUCUCUGAACGUAAUUUUGGAGAUUUUGAUGAGUUCCAUUGAAACAAGGAGGAAUGUGAUGUCCAGUAUCAGUUCUGCAGACCCAAGGACAAAGAAAAUUCUGUGAUAAACUCAUCCAGUGUGACUGUAAUGAUACAAGACACCGGACUUUCAAAUCAACAAUUGUUUCAAAAGACUCCUACUGGAUUCCUGCUAGUGAUGGGAGAAAAUUAUCAUUCUGCUAGUUAAUCUGUAGCCAGAGAUGAUUAAGGAGGUCAUUAAAGGAAAACAAGCUGCCCACCAUGCUGAUGCCUGGUUGUUCAGAUCGUUGAGGUGGUGUAGAGAUGACGCACACUGGCUCAGUUUACCCACAUUUGGAUCUACGGACCUGCAAGUCCUCUGUCAUGACACACCAGCCCUGGGAUAUCACAUAAGCUACAGGUCAGACGCUGCUUUCCAGACAGAAUUAUGGAGAAGACAACCAUCAUUUUGGAGCUAUAGAUAGUGGAUUUCAAGAGAGUACCAAGGUUGCUACUCCAUAAUGGCCAGAAGAGCAAGCCAAAAACAUCAGAGUAAACACAGAAACCUCACAUCUCAGGGAGGUUUGCUUAACAAACAUAUCAAGACCUGGGAUACCUGGAAAACUGCAGAUGAAAAGAAUAUGUCUAAGAUCCUGUUAACAGCAGAACUUAGACUGCUAGCCCUGCUGGAAAUUUUCCAUGCUCUUCAUUCGUUCUCCUGUAUUUCCUAACGCCAAUAAAAGAGGAGAUCCCUGAGGACA